CUCCGUGCCAGCAGCCGCGGUAAUACGGAGGGUGCGAGCGUUAAUCGGAAUUACUGGGCGUAAAGCGCAUGCAGGCGGCCUGUUAAGUCAGAUGUGAAAGCCCCGGGGCUUAACCUCGGAAUUGCAUUUUGAAACUGGCAGGCUAGAGUCUUGUAGAGGGGGUAGGAAUUUCAGGUGUAGCGGUGAAAUGCGUAGAGAUCUGAAGGAAUACCAGUGGCGAAGGCGGCCCCCUGGACAAAGACUGACGCUCAGUAUGCGAAAGCGUGGGGAGCAAACAGGAUUAGAUACCCUCGGUAG
rnacentral:rRNA from 1 species